AGCUGGUGACUGGCUCUGCCCACAUCUUUCCAAGGGCUGUGCUGGAGGGCUUCACUGAAAAUGAAGUGCUUUGUCUUACAAGAGCAUUUAGUGUGGAGAUGUUGAGGCACUGGCUGGAGGAUAAACAGUCUUAUUUGUCAGUGUUGGUGUCUGGGUGAAGGGAACAAUAAAUUGAAUUUUGAAAGUCAAGCCUCCGUCUCAAAUACCUAAUAACAGAGUGUUUCAGAAGUCUUUUCCAACCUAAAUAAUUCUGUGAUCUGAGAGUGAUCAGAGGCUUUGCAGAGUUGUCACUUUGACUGCCAUGAGCAGUCUCAUGAGGAGUUGCCUCCCUGCUUCCAAUUUUACUGAGCUGCUUUUGACUACAUUGUGUCCACUCAUCUAGGAUCCUUGUGCAUGGGUGGAUGAAGUUGUUUUUCCUUGACACUCUCCAUCCUUCCACUCCAGCUUGGGCACAGAACUGAGGUCCCUUUGAAAACCUCUGUUAUAAUUUUUACAUCCCUGACUGGUAAAAGGAUGUUUCAUCAGCUGACAUACCAGCCGUUCUACAAAUGCAGCCUCUUGUGUCAUGAUAUUCUUUUGAUUUAGGGUUGAUUUAGAGAUGUGCCAGUGCAGGAGAGAAAGAGACUUUUUAAGAAGAUGCUUCUGACAUAGCUUGUACCUCCCAACAUCCAAGGAAUAACAACCAACAGUGACAUCAGAUCAAGAAGAGGAGCCAUACAGGAAGGAGAAAUUCCCUAGUAUGAACAUGAUGAUACGGAUGUGCUCAACUCUAAGAACAGUAUCUUUUCCACAUUUGGAAAAUAUUGUGGUGUUCAGACAUGGGCUUCUGCUCUGCCUUGUUUCAACAGUGUCAUGAGUUCCCUUGGAAACAACUUCCUAAUCCUGACUGCCAUAGUGGAAGACAUGUGAGGCAAGACUAAAACAAAAUCCUACUAGUGGAUUGAAUGGAUGGAAGGCAUCUUUAUGCUUUCUAAAAUGCCAGCUCGUGCUUCAGGGGAAGGAAGGCUACUCCAUGGAAGCCAACGACAAGGACCAGCCACCAGAAAAAUGAUGGAUGCCACAGGGACGAGCUUUGUUGUAAGUGUAGGAGCCUGGCACAUUCAGAGCUGCAGGAUCUUCUGUCCCUUGCCAUUCUGGUGUAUCUCAUAAAGAGGUUGGCCUUUCUCCAGCUCCCUGCAGAGAUGCCCUGUGCUGCCAGGUGGCUCAACAAAGGCAGCAGCUGAGGAGAAUGAAGGAGAAAUCUUGUAAGGCCAGAGCAGAAGCAGCUGAUGGUAAAGGAACAACAUUCCCCUGUAACAGGAGGCAGUGGGCAGAGAUGUGUCAGUGGAAAUCCAAGCAGUUAUAUCUGUCAGGGGAAUAUAUACCUGCCAGAGGAAUAUAUCUGCCAUCUAAGCAAAAGCUGGCUUAGCAUGUUUCAGAAGAUGGAUGCCCAGGAGGCUUCUUGUGGCUGAGAAGGUGCCCUGGACAUCUGCUUCCUUCAUCCCAGGUGAGGACUAAAUCUGUCCGUGGUCCCUUCUACAUGUGAGUACAUCAAGGACUCGGUUGUCACUCAGUCUCAGAUGUCUCCUUGCUGCCUCCUUGUCCUCAUUUGUUGCCUCAAAGUGCUAGUUUGGUUGGUGCUGGCUGGAGCUGUUGGUGCACAUGGAGAUGGUACUUCUUCCCAGGUGCUCCUUACAAACAUGGAAAGUUGCAGGAGCAGCUCAGUUCUUCUAUCCUUACAGUGACCCUGACUGCCUGUGGUGUGACAUCAGCCUGUCAGAAAGCAAAGGAGACUCCUGGUCAUGCUGAGUGAGCUCAGAGCAUGGUCACCAGUCUGGCUUCAUGGGUCAUCUGCAGGAGUUAGCUCUGAGGGCCUAAAGAGAGGCAGA
ensembl:lncRNA